GUGUGUGCCAGAACAACCCUUGUGGCAAUUGGGGUACCUGUGUGGAUCAGCCAUAUUACUACCCCUACUACCGGUGCUACUGCAUCCCACCCUGGUCAGGCAGCAACUGCGAAAAUUACGCCACUGAAACUACCACUGAGCCUCCUACCACACCCAGUGUGUGCCAGAACAACCCUUGUGGCAAUUGGGGUACCUGUGUGGAUCAGCCAGACGACUAUCCCUACUACCGGUGCGACUGCAUCCCACCGUGGUAUGGCAGCAACUGCGAAUAUUAUGCCACUGAAACUACCACUGAGCCUCCUACCACUCCCAGUGAGU